GACGAACGCUGGCGGCGUGCUUAACACAUGCAAGUCGAACGGAAAGGCCCUGCUUUUGUGGGUUGCUCGAGUGGCGAACGGGUGAGUAACACGUGAGUAACCUGCCCUUGACUUUGGGAUAACUACAGGAAACUGGGGCUAAUACCGGCUAGGAGCUCCUGCUGCAUGGUGGGGGUUGGAAAGUUUCGGAGGUUGGCGAUGGACUCGCGGCUUAUCAGCUUGUUGGUGGGGUAGUGGCUUACCAAGGCUUUGACGGGUAGCCGGCCUGAGAGGGUGACCGGCCACAUUGGGACUGAGGUACGGCCCAGACUCCUACGGGAGGCAGCAGUGGGGAAUAUUGCACAAUGGGCGGAAGCCUGAUGCAGCAACGCCGCGUGCGGGAUGACGGCCUUCGGGUUGUAAACCGCUUUCGCCUGUGACGAAGCGUGAGUGACGGUAAUGGGUAAAGAAGCACCGGCUAGCUACGUG
rnacentral:rRNA from 1 species